GACGAACGCUGGCGGCGUGCCUAAUACAUGCAAGUAGAACGCUGAAGGAGGAGCUUGCUUCUCUGGAUGAGUUGCGAACGGGUGAGUAACGCGUAGGUAACCUGCCUGGUAGCGGGGGAUAACUAUUGGAAACGAUAGCUAAUACCGCAUAAGAGUAGAUGUUGCAUGACAUUUGCUUAAAAGGUGCAAUUGCAUCACUACCAGAUGGACCUGCGUUGUAUUAGCUAGUUGGUGGGGUAACGGCUCACCAAGGCGACGAUACAUAGCCGACCUGAGAGGGUGAUCGGCCACACUGGGACUGAGACACGGCCCAGACUCCUACGGGAGGCAGCAGUAGGGAAUCUUCGGCAAUGGACGGAAGUCUGACCGAGCAACGCCGCGUGAGUGAAGAAGGUUUUCAGGAUCGUAAAGCUCUGUUGUAAGAGAAGAACGAGUGUGAGCAGUGGAAAGUGUCACACUAUGACUGGAUCUUACCAAGAACGGAGCUGAG
rnacentral:rRNA from 1 species